rnacentral:rRNA from 1 species
UACGGGGGGGGCAAGCGUUGUUCGGAAUUACUGGGCGUAAAGGGCUCGUAGGCGGGUCGUUAAGUCAGGGGUGAAAUCCCGGAGCUCAACUCCGGAACUGCCUUUGAUACUGGCGAUCUAGAGAUCGGAAGAGGUGAGUGGAAUUCCCAGUGUAGAGGUGAAAUUCGUAGAUAUUGGGAAGAACACCAGUGGCGAAGGCGGCUCACUGGUCCGAUACUGACGCUGAGGUGCGAAAGCGUGGGGAGCAAACAGG